GGAACUAUAACCCUAACGGUAAGGGGGCGGUUUUGAAAACCGCGAGUAGGCUGCAAGGCUGUCCGGGUUCGAGUCCUGGUAGUUCCG
rnacentral:tRNA from 1 species